AGGGUUGGCCACCUUGAGAAGCUGCGAAGAUGGCGGAGUAAGGCGUGCCGCUGCAAACUGGCCUCUGGGCCGGGGGCGAGCAGCCCCCGGGAGGCCGAGUGCAUCUGUUGGACCGUGCGAGGAGAAGAAAAAAAAUAUCGGCCAGAGGAGAGGAACUAACCGAACAUUCUUCCUCCCUACCUUAUAGAGGGGAGUGGUCAUCUACACUAAAGCAAAGUGUUAGGCGCGUCCGUGCGAAGAGACCACCAAACAGGCUUUGUGUUCCUUAUCACAGGAAGAAAAUUUUCCUUGACCUUUAGGUGCUUUUAUAUUCAUCUCAAAAACAAAAUUCUGAACUCAGGACUUGGCAAACCACCGCUGAAACUUCACUUCUACACAGAGGCUUUCUUUCCCAGAAACCCAGACCAGAUGGAGUUUCACUCUGUCGCCCAGGCUGGAGUGCAGUGGCACGAUCUCGGCUGACUGCAGCCUCUACCUGCUGGGUUCAAGCAAUUCUUCUGCCUCAGGUUCCUGAGUAGCUGGGAUUACAGAAUCUCACUAUGUCUCCCAGGCUGGAGUGCAGUGGCGUGAUCUCACAGUGGCGUGAUCUCAGCUCACUGCAGCCUCUGCCUCCCAGGUUCCAACAAUUCUCGUGCCUCAGCCUCCUGAGUAGCUGGGAUUACAGGCGUCUACCACUACACCUGGCUAAUUUUUGUAUUUUUCGUAGAGAUGGGUUUCACCAUGUUAGCCAGGCUGGUCUCAAACUCCUGACCUCGAGUGAUCCACCGCCUCAGCCUCCUAAAGUGCUGGGAUUACAGGCAUAAGCCACUGUGCUCAGCCUACUUUGUCUUUCCUGAAAAACCUUUUAAAAUUUAUUUGAUGGACUUUGUCUCAAAAUAAAUAAAAUAAAAUGUAUUUGAUGA
rnacentral:lncRNA from 1 species